rnacentral:rRNA from 1 species
AACGAACGCUGGCGGCAUGCCUAACACAUGCAAGACGAACGAGACCUUCGGGUCUAGUGGCGCACGGGUGCGUAACGCGUGGGAACCUGCCCUUAGGUUCGGAAUAACUCCCCGAAAGGGGUGCUAAUACCGGAUAAUGUCUUCGGACCAAAGAUUUAUCGCCUUUGGAUGGGCCCGCGUUGGAUUAGCUAGUUGGUAGGGUAAAAGCCUACCAAGGCGACGAUCCAUAGCUGGUCUGAGAGGAUGAUCAGCCACACUGGGACUGAGACACGGCCCAGACUCCUACGGGAGGCAGCAGUGGGGAAUAUUGGACAAUGGGCGAAAGCCUGAUCCAGCAAUGCCGCGUGAGUGAUGAAGGCCUUAGGGUUGUAAAGCUCUUUUACCCGGGAUGAUAAUGACAGUACCGGGAGAAUAAGCUCCGGCUAACUCCGU